GACGAACGCUGGCGGCGUGCUUAACACAUGCAAGUCGAACGGAAAGGCCCUGCUUUUGUGGGGUGCUCGAGUGGCGAACGGGUGAGUAACACGUGAGUAACCUGCCCUUGACUUUGGGAUAACUUCAGGAAACUGGGGCUAAUACCGGAUAGGAGCUCCUGCUGCAUGGUGGGGGUUGGAAAGUUUCGGCGGUUGGGGAUGGACUCGCGGCUUAUCAGCUUGUUGGUGGGGUAGUGGCUUACCAAGGCUUUGACGGGUAGCCGGCCUGAGAGGGUGACCGGGCACAAUGGGGCCUGAGGAAGCGCCCGAACCCCAACGGGGGCAAUGGGGGGGGAAUUUGCCCAAAGGGGCGGAGCCGGGAGCGAGCAACCCCGGUGGGGGAAGGCCGGCCUUCGGGUUGAAAACCGCUUCCGCCUGGGAGAAAGCGUGGGGGCCGUAAAUGGGAAAAAAAGCACCGGUUAACUCCGU
rnacentral:rRNA from 1 species